rnacentral:rRNA from 1 species
UACGGAGGGUGCAAGCAUUAAUCGGAUUUAUUGGGCGUAAAGGGCGCGUAGGCGGGUUUGUAAGUCAGAUGUGAAAUUCCGAAGCUCGGCUUCGGAGCUGCAUUUGAAACUACAAGUCUAGAGGAGUGGCGGAGAAAAUGGAAUUCCCCGUGUAGCGGUGAAAUGCGUAGAUAUGUGGAAGAACACCAGUGGCGAAAGCGGUUUUCUAGCUUAUUCCUGACGCUGAGGCGCGAGAGCAAGGUGAGCAAACAGG